rnacentral:rRNA from 1 species
CCUACGGGUGGCAGCAGUGAGGAAUAUUGGUCAAUGGUCGGGAGACUGAACCAGCCAAGCCGCGUGAGGGAGGAAGGUACAGAGUAUCGUAAACCUCUUUUGUCAGGGAACAAAGACUGGGACGCGUCCCCGGAUGAGUGUACCUGAAGACAAAGCAUCGGCUAACUCCGUGCCAGCAGCCGCGGUAAUACGGAGGAUGCGAGCGUUCUCCGGAGUUAUUGGGUUUAAAGUGUGCGCAGGCGGUCGGUUAAGUCGGCGGUCAAAGCCCGGGGCUCAACCCCGGCCCGACGUUGAAACUGGCAGUCUCGAGUUGGAGAGAAGUAUGCGGAAUGCGCGGUGUAGCGGUGAAAUGCAUAGAUAGCGCGCAGAACUCCGAGUGCGAAGGCAGCAUGCUGGCUCCACACUGACGCUGAGGCACGAAAGCGUGGGUAUCGAACAGGAUUAGAGACCCUAGUAGUC